rnacentral:misc_RNA from 1 species
UACUCACCCUGGGUACUUAAUGAGAUAGAAUUUUGGAUAACUAUGAUUCUCCCUGAGGAUGUCUACCAUUGUAAUUAGCUCUAAGUUAACCUGCCACCAUAUUUUUAGUAAAAAGAAGAUGCACUGAACCUCUCACCAAUAAAGUUUAGCCAGUUAUUAGCAAUGUCUGCCAAUUCAUUCAAAACCAAAACUCAGGUCAUUCAUUAGCGUGAAUUGAAACAAAAACUUUCAAAGUUAUGAUCAUGGCAAAGUUAUGCUCCACCAAAAUGAUCUUAAACUUCAGACACUGAAAAAUUUUCCUAUCCUUGUUCCCAUGCAUAUGAGAAAAGGCAAAGUUUGUGCAGUUUUCUAAUAAGUUGAACAUGAAAGGCAGAUGAAUGAGGAGCUAGGUUCCUGAUAAUUUUUAUGUUUCUCCUCUAAUCUAGUUAUCUUCCCUCCCAAUAAUCGAGGGCAGUCUUAUUAUUAAAAAAAAAAGGGAUCCAAUAAAAACAUACAACAUUGGUAAUUUAGAAGCAGCUUCAAUAAAAAGCACAACCUUGGCCGUGAUAGGAAAAUUAAGAAGUCAACCUUGAAAUCUAGUGUUGUACUCUUUGGGGGUGUAAUGCUUGUUGAUAUCAAUUGUUGAAAUAUGUUAAGAAAUUUCUUUCACAGAUUGGAGAGAGUGAAUUUUAGGUUGUCACUGUUUGAAACUCUCCUUUCCAUUGCAUGUGCAGAAUAUACACCAGAGA